ensembl:ncRNA lncRNA:CR44630 long non-coding RNA:CR44630
GUGGGGCCAAGAGGAGGCACCGAGACCUGCGUGCGGAUCAAAGCACAUGUGGCGAUGUGAAAGAGAUGCCGACACCGCGAUGAACUGACUUGGACUGUCUUGGCCACGGGACUCCUUGGCGGACUGCUGCAGACAUAAUGAAAGAGCCAUUAUCCACCGACCGACCGACCGACCGACCGACCGACCGACCGACCGACUAUUCACUUUGUCUAAUUACAUAAUGCAAUGCAAAUUGCGGCAACCACGCCCCAGUUGCAUAUCCAUUUGCCGCAAUAUUGCCGUUUAACCCCAGCCAAGACCCCGGGGACCACCCAAAAAAUAGAAGAAAUAAAAUUGCACUCGUUCGCCAAGCCAAUGAAAACAAAUGGCAAAUAGAAAUAGCAAACAAUGACAGACCGUCUAGUCUAGGUAUAUGGAAUUGUGCAAAAAUUUGCACACUCAAAUGGAAAUGCAGGGAAACACGAGAAACGACUCUGAACCCAGAGCUGUGCCCGAAACCUUGACGUUCUAAAAUGCCAAUUAUAACUAGCGCAAAUACAAAUAAAAAUACCAGGUCGGCACAAAAGCCAACUCCAUCCAGCUUCGAGCACUCUUUUGGCCC